AGUUACUUGAAUUUUUCACAGAAGCUGAAGAAGAAGAAGAAAAUGGCGGACUCCACCAGCAGCUGCUCUUCAUCAGCCAACUCCUCAUCUUCAUCAGUCAGACGUCUCACCCUCUCAGCCUUUCAGUUAGUCCAUUGGAAACAACCGAAGAAGUCCGCGGCAGCUUUCGGCCUGUCCCUCCUGGUCCUCGUGUCUGUGGCAACCCUGUCUGUCAUCAGCGUGGUGUCCUACCUGCUGCUCGCCGGCCUCUGCGUCACGAUCACCUUCCGGGUUUAUAAGUCAGUGAUUCAGGCCGUCCAGAAAUCAGACGAAGGUCAUCCAUUCAGGGGUCUGUUGGACCGGGACAUCUCAGUGUCCUCUGAGUCGGUGCGUCAGUUGGCAGAUCAGGGUCUGAUCCACCUGAACUGGUUCAGCAGUGAGACCAGGAGGCUGCUGCUGGUGGAGGACCUGGUGGAUUCUCUGAAGCUGGCUGCCGUCAUGUGGCUGAUGACAUAUGUUGGUUCUGUGUUUAAUGGAGUCACCAUCCUGAUCCUCGGUGAGACUGCUUCUGUUCUGGUUCUGUUCUGGUUCUGUUCUGUUCUGGUUCUGUUCUGUUCUGUUCUGGUUCUGUUCUGGUUCUGUUCUGUUCUGGUUCUGCUCUGGUUCUGGUUCUGUUCUGUUCUGGUUCUGUUCUGUUCUGUUCUGGUUCUGUUCUGGUUCUGCUCUGGUUCUGCUCUGGCUCCUGUGACUAAUCGACAGUUUCUCUGUUCAGCUGACAUCUUGUUCUUCACCGCUCCGCUGAUCUACCAGAAGAAAAAGGUACCGAGCGUCUGUUCUCAAAGAACCUGAGACAACCAACUUCUGUUUGCUGGAACAAUAGUAAAACAUAAAAUAUUCACACACACACACUCAAUGGCCAGAUUAUGUCACAUGACUUCAUCACAGCUCUGUCAUGUGACUUGAGUUAAUCUUGGUGGACGUCACAUGACUCGUGUCAAAGAUCCAAGUUAAGAUGAGGACCAGGAAGAUGGCGAGUGUUGGACUCAGGUUCACUGACCUGCUGUGACAUCACUGAGCCGAUGAUGCGUUCAACACAACGUGGAGUUUAAGACUCUGAUGCUUUGAUCUUUAAUGUUUAACAAGAUCAAAGUUUCAAAGAUCAGAUCAUUGAUCCACCGAUUGAGAGAUUGAUUCAUUAAUUGUUUCCUCAAUUAUUUCAUUGUCAGCUCUCUCACUAACAUUCAAACUGUGUGUGUGUUUGUCUGUUUGUGUGUGUGUGUGUGUUCAGGUACAAAUUGAUGACAUCAUAACAUCAGUUCGCUGCAGGUUUGAUGAGAAGCUGCUGAAGCUGCAGAACGUUUUACCAGGAGCCGUGAAAAGAACCAAAGCUGAGUGACCUGCAGACACACCUGUGGUUCCGCCCUCUCCUCUGAUUGGUCCGUUUGUCACUGACUCAGCUGCUGAAUUUACUUUGAACGUCUUU